GAUGAACGCUAGCGGCAGGCUUAACACAUGCAAGUCGAGGGGUAUAGUAGCAAUACUAGAGACCGGCGCACGGGUGCGUAACGCGUAUGCAAUCUACCUUUUACAGAGGGAUAGCCCAGAGAAAUUUGGAUUAAUACCUCAUAGUAUAACGACCUGGCAUCAGGAUGUUAUUAAAGUCACAACGGUAAAGAUGAGCAUGCGUCCCAUUAGCUUGUUGGUAAGGUAACGGCUUACCAAGGCUACGAUGGGUAGGGGUCCU
rnacentral:rRNA from 1 species